rnacentral:rRNA from 1 species
AACAAGGUUUCCGUAGGUGAACCUGCGGAAGGAUCAUUAUUGAAAUAAACCUGAUGGGUUGUUGCUGGUUCUCUAGGGAGCAUGUGCACACCUUGUCAUCUUUAUAUCUCCACCUGUGCACUUUUUGUAGACCUUUCAGGUCUAUGUUGCUUCAUUUACCCCAAUGUAUGUUAAUAGAAUGUUGUGCCUAUAUAAUAUAUACAACUUUCAGCAACGGAUCUCUUGGCUCUCGCAUCGAUGAAGAACGCAGCGAAAUGCGAUAAGUAAUGUGAAUUGCAGAAUUCAGUGAAUCAUCGAAUCUUUGAACGCACCUUGCGCUCCUUGGUAUUCCGAGGAGCAUGCCUGUUUGAGUGUCAUUAAUAUAUCAACCUUCUCUUUUUUGAGUUGUUUGGAUGUGGGGGUUUGCUGGCCACGAUUCAGCUCCCCUGAAAUGCAUUAGCAGAACAACCUGUUCAUUGGCGUGAUAAUUAUCUAUGCUAUUGAAUGUGAGGGCAGUUCAGCUUUCUAACCGUCCUUGGACAAUUCAUCAUUAAUGUGACCCCAAAUCAGGUAGGACUACCCGCUGAACUUAAGCAUAUCAAUA